rnacentral:rRNA from 1 species
UACGGAGGGGGCAAGCGUUAUUCGGAAUCAUUGGGCGUAAAGAGCGUGUAGGCGGCCCGGUAAGUCCGCUGUGAAAGUCCAGGGCUCAACCCUGGAAUGCCGGUGGAAACUGUCGGGCUAGAGUCCGGAAGAGGCGAGUGGAAUUCCUGGUGUAGCGGUGAAAUGCGCAGAUAUCAGGAGGAACACCAAUGGCGAAGGCAGCUCGCUGGGACGGUACUGACGCUGAGGCGCGAGAGCGUGGGGAGCAAACAGG